UCCUGUAAAAUUUCAGCACUCUAGCACCACAUUGAGCUCCGUCACUAGUAUAACCGUCAGUCACUGCGUCCACAUCAGACCCUCUAUUUUUAGACAGAGCCUGUUUCAAAUAGGUUCCUAUCUCCAUUAGGACUCUUUGAAACAGGCGGAACUACUUUAGAAAGAAAAUACUCAAUCCGACCACAUCAGCAUACAUGACAACAGUCCCUAUAUGGUUGGGACAGUCCCCAUUUCCUAGCAAAGGAAGAAAGUCCCCUUAUUUACUCAUAGGAAAAAAAAAUCAUUUAUUCUGCACAGUAGAGUUAUUGAAAACCACACGCUGUGCUCUUCGUGCGGCUGACACAUCUGCUGAUCACUAACUUAUACAAAGAUGACCCUCCCGUUCCCGCCCCACCGGAGAAGAGCGUCCCGCUGAACAGUUUCCAAAUAUUAGCAAGGGGAGAGUGACAUUAACUUCAUUAUUAUUAUUAUUAUAAAGAUUACAAUUACUAUUAGUAUUAUUAAAAUAAACAUGAUAUAGGCUACCUCGAAUGUUGCUCCAUCUGAAAAUGAGUUUUAAAUGCAGCACCGGUGUAGUAGGCUAUAUCACAACAUUCUCAACGUAAUUUUCUACCCUCACUGGACUAUUUGAGUUCACUGCUGUCACAGCCGCUAACGCUGCAGUAUUCGUUGCUGAGUAUACUGUCAUGUAAGCAUGAUGCUGUCUAUCUUCCAGAAACUCCUGCAAAACUAACCCCACUGCAACUUUGUCCGCCAUUUUUUAAAACGUUCGCUAACGUACCGUUCAAUAAAACCUAACUUCCGCCUCGUAGUGCCACAAAAAAAGCGCUCUGUUUAUUGAACACAGCCCAGGAGUUCAGGGAAGUCAGAGAGGGAGAAUCUCCACCAAUCAGGGGCUCGGCUAGCCCGAUUAGUGGUACCCAGUUGCAACAUUGUUGGCACAAACCAAGGGACGAAAUGUUGCAACCAUCGGGAUCGAGAGCAGGAAGCGGUGGGGGGAAUAAGUACUGCUGAGACAGAGACAAGCUGGAGUGAGAGAAAGAGCACAGAAGAAACAGCCAAGGAGAGCAGAAGAGAAGCGAUACUACAGGAACAACCAGAGACUGCACUUAUUGACUGUAGCACACGGCUGAAACAGUGUGUUUUUGGACUUUCUUUUCUUUUAUUAUUUGUCACAGUCUGGGUAGCAGUGCACUGCUCGGCUGUAGUUGUACCACUGGCUGAAUUUGAGAACCUGCAAAUAUCAGUCUGAGCCUGCUUCAUUUUCCUACAAUGGUGAUUAGCAGGGAUCCUAGGAAUCUGUUUGCUGCAGAAUAACACAGAAAAACACAGAUUUUCUAUGCUGUUGGAGAAUUUUUAGUUUUACAUUUGGGGCGGGGCAAAAACCAUGCAAGGCUUUUUUUUUGUUUGUUUGAUAAUCAAAUCAUACACUUAUCAUAUAUAAUCAUCAACACAGGCAAUUUUGCUUUACAUUUACGUAAACAUACUUGUUUAAUAAAACUGCUUCCGGUGUACAGAGGUCAAGGUUGAACGAGGCACGUUCUUGUUGAUAAGUGGCUUGCAGUUUACUUCAGUAUCCAGACGUGCAUUGUUGUUACUGAACAAGCUGUUAAAGAUGCCAGAAACAAUCGGGUCAAUGAGUUUGGCAGUAGUCAUCCAGAUGACAAAGACUAACUUGGAGAUAAACUAAUAUGAAUACUAUUUUUUGGUUUGUAUUAUUACUACACAGGCGUAUUUGUAAUGUUUAAUGUAAAAUGGUAAGUUUGUUUAUAUUAUUGAUUGAUGGCACUGGUGAGCUUGCAACUUCCUUAGAAUUUAAAACUGUACCAGCAAUAAAUACUUCCCGUUUUAAGUGUUAUUCGGUAGUACUGUUAUACUAAACAUCCACUAAAUGGCAGUGUUACGGUAUAACUGUGAAAAUACAGGACUGAUAAAGAGUCUUCAAUAGAUAAUCAGCGUGGUGUGCAGUCAUAACAAUACAGUGACAUCAUUUAUUUACUGGCUGGUUAUACUUUUUUCCUUAAUACAAGUUAACAGUUCCAAUAAAAUUCAUUUGUCAAUUACUGUUUAAAAAAAAAAAAUAUAACAUGUUGUGAUAUAAAAUAAUUACAGCAUGCAUUUUCUUAUCACGCCUUACAUUUUUCAGUGCUGUAUAGACAUUCUGUGUCGUUAUCUGUUAGUGCUUCAGCUUUAUUUGGAUGAUUGCCUUUACCCUGUUUUAAUUUACCGUUCCUCUCCAGUUUGUGAUACAAAUGUACCAGCUUUACAUAAUUAGUUUUUUUACGUAUUCUCAUUUUGUUGAUCAUCAAUGAACUUUUCUCUACUGUGGGUGUUGUCAAGUGAUUGAAAAUGAGACAUUUUGUGUUUGAAUUAAAAGUGGUCUCGAGGAGUUGAAUGGGUCAAAGUUAAAGUAUAUUUUCCUCUAGAGGAAUUAUGACAUUUUGAUGUCACUACUGUGCUAUUAUUAUUAUUAU